UUCAGUUAAAUUGAAGCUGAAGUCCUGUCUUUAUUCACAGAACAGGUAUAAGCACAGGCAGCAGCAUAUACUUUCCCAGGUUUACAGUCUGAGCAGUGUACCUCAGACUUUGUUCUGAAGAGAUCACCACUGAGCAACAAGGAUAGUUCAGUCAUGUCCAUUCAGUCCUUAAACUCU
rnacentral:sRNA from 1 species